rnacentral:rRNA from 1 species
CCUACGGGGAGCAGCAGUGAGGAAUAUUGGUCAAUGGUCGGGAGACUGAACCAGCCAAGCCGCGUGAGGGAUGAAGGUACAGAGUAUCGUAAACCUCUUUUGUCAGGGAACAAAGGCGGGGACGUGUCCCCGGAUGAGUGUACCUGAAGAAAAAGCAUCGGCUAACUCCGUGCCAGCAGCCGCGGUAAUACGGAGGAUGCGAGCGUUAUCCGGAUUUAUUGGGUUUAAGGGGUGCGCAGGCGGUCUGUUAAGUCAGCGGUCAAAGCCCGGGGCUCAACCCCGGCCCGCCGUUGAAACUGGCAGGCUCGAGUUGGAGAGAGGUAUGCGGAAUGCGCGGUGUAGCGGUGAAAUGCAUAGAGAUCGCGCAGAACUCCGAUUGCGAAGGCAGCAUGCCGGCUCCACACUGACGCUGAGGCACGAAAGCGUGGGUAUCGAACAGGAUUAGAUACCCGUGUAGUC